AGGAUCCUCGGCGCUGACGUUCUCUCCCCAGGGGGAGGAGGGGCCCAGGAAGGGUUAGGUCCGCAGCCAGUGCGGAGAAAGGGCCCUGGGCUCGGCUCCCACGCUCGGGCAGGCCUCCCGCCGGGGGAUCGGAGCUGCGGUCACUCGCGGCUUCGGGGCCGUGGCGUCCCGCGCACAGCUUCCGCGCCUCUGCAAGGCGCUCUGAAGAAAUGGAGGUGAACAGAGGAACAGCCACUCCCAGCAAGCAAGGGAAGAAGAAUCUUGAAAGCCUGUGACUUCACAGAGACUUCUUGAUUGAUGCCCCUGAAAUCAGCCUGCCAAGUGUGGCCUCUGCAGCAUAAAUACAAGGAGUCUGAUGACACAAGACGGCGUCUGAUGAUAGUUCUGUCACCCUCAGCCAUAUUAUAAUUCCAUGUCCUCGUAGUCACCCUGCCAUAAUCCCACCAUUUCCUGCAAACACAGCUUCUCCUGCCUGAUGAAGUCUUACCUAUCCUUUAAGACCUAGCUCCGACCGGGUGCAGUGGCUCAUGCCUGUAAUCCCUGCACUUUGG
rnacentral:lncRNA from 10 species